rnacentral:sRNA from 1 species
GGAUCUCCCUCCUGAGAGAAGAUUCUCUCUGAGAGUCUUACAGGUGAACAUGAUGAUUGCCAAGGUAGAGAAGGAAACAGAGGCAAAGUGUCCCAACUUUCCAGGACCAGAGAUGACAACACCUUUCAACAUCAUAAAAGAAAAAGAAACACAAGUUCUCUCUGAAGACAGCCCUAGAGCUCCCAUCUCUGCUUCUGCCCAGCUUCUCCCUGAUACAGAUACAGAAGAAGACAGAAUUCAGUAAAUGUUCCCCACCACUUCCUGAGAUGAAGAGUUUAGAGAGCAAAAUAGAACUCCACUCUGAAGCAGUUACUUGCACAACUUGAGCAUCAGGUUCUGAGUUGGAAGCCUUAGCACUCAGUACCAGGUAACACUUCCACUGCUGACGGCAUCCCUGAUGGACCCAUUGGACACUCCACCACGGAGUUCUAGACCACAUGAGCAGCAAGCCUGGUCACAAAUGUGUCACAUUCAAACAGGCAUUCUAGCUGUGAUGACGCCUCUUUAAAAGAAAGUUACAUUUUUAUCCUAAAACUGUCAGCCCACUGGUUGGGAUCUGUAGAAAAAUAAAAGGGAUGACUGUCGAUGGGAUAAUUUGGGGUCAGGAACACAGACUUGUGUGAGUGCAGUGACUCGGAAAGAGUUUUACCCAUAAUCGUGUCCUCUACCUAACACUUACAUCAAAUUUUAGUCAGUUUAUGACUCAACUUUUCAGAAAACGGGAUUUCCUAUAGAAAUUGUUUCUCCCAGGGGUAUGCAUAUCCCAAAAUUUCAUGGCGAGCUCAUACCUCUGAGUAAUCGCACAAUUCUAUACAUAAGACACAAUUGCAUUUCACUCGAGUUUAAAGAUUUAUUCCUUCUACUCUCUUUGAAAUAUGUAUUACAUAACUGUGAGUGCAGAACUCUAUGGUCUCAGCCUUCCAGGCUCCUUGUCAUUCAUUCACACAGAGCACAUGAAGUUAGUGGGUUAGAUUAAUGUAUACACUGUACACGUGUGUACAAUCACAGACACCAGAGACCUUUAAACACAGAGUUCUGCAUGUGAAAAUCAACUUUUGCCUUUUAAAAAGCACAUACACUAAUAUAUAUUGCAUGAAAUAUAAGAUAAUAAAUCUUAGUAUUACAUUUAAUAUUGAGAAGCUAACACAGAUUUCCUCUUUUACAGGACACCAGCAUUUUGAGUACAUGUUGCCCAGAUCUGCCCAUAUCAUAUCUGACUAUUUAGUUUCUCACACUCUGAGUAGGCACUUGAUGUGUAUGAAAAGUUGAGAAAAGUCUGGGGUUGUUAUCACUGGCGACAUCCUCGUGACAUUCAGGUUUAGGGCUGAUUCCCAGCCCACUGAGAAAAACAAGUGCUCUCAGUCAUUGUAUUAGCAUCUCACCUGUGAGCUAUAUCUUCAAGUGCAAAGAUUUCAGCUAUCUAAAAUGCAGAGGUAUUCUAUCUAACUCCCCCUAUCCUGAACAGCAUUCCCAACCUGACAACAUGCCGCUGGGGGAAACUGAAGAGCUGAAUCAAUGAACACGGAGAGACCAGCUGGGCUCCAUGAGGACUGCAAAGGCAACGUGGAGAUGUGUGCAGAUUUGGUGCUCGCUUUGGAAUAGAAGGCAUUUCUGUACUUCAUGGCAGAGGCAUUGGCAGUGAAAGUACAGAAAUUAUCAUGCUUGUUUUUAUUUCUGUUCCCAUGGAAACUAAAAUCGUCUCCUACCAAGUUGAAUGAGGUAUUUGGAAAUAAUCAGUUUCAAUUUUUCAUGAUAGCUAAGUAUUGCUUUCCUGUUCUCGGCUUACUGGCUUACUUUCAUGGAAGAGGGGGACUGACAUUGUCUGAGGGCACAAAGACCACAGAAAUGAUGAUUAUCUGAAGAGGCAUGAUCCCAAGGCCCAGAUGAGGGUCGAGGCUGAGGCUGCCACUGGCCAGUGCUCACUCACCUCGGCCCUGGAGAGCUCUGAGAGCUCCUGGAGCCAUAUUAAAGUGUAGUUUACUGGAAGUAGCUGGGUAGUGUGGAAUUAUGAAGUCAUUAUUGCUGGGAGAAUAUAGUAAGUUUUCUCAUUUUAAAAGGAAAUGUUGGUUUUCUUUCAUUUUCACGGAAUCCCCUACAGGCUACACUUUAAUGUUUAACACCACUUCUCUCAAUUAAAUGUAAAUCCACAAACACGAAUUCACUAAGAGUCCAGUGUCUGGUGAGCCCACGGAAGGUCAAGGGUCUUGCUUGUCCUCAUUGUGAUGCUAUGUCUGGGAUGCUCACAGCACCAGCAGGAACUUGAUCCACCACACACCUGUGGCUGGAAUACAUCUAAUGCCAAUGAACUCGUGGUUCUAAUUCCUUUCAUUCUCAAAGGCUGAGUGGCCCUGUGCUCAGGCAGGAGACUGGGCCAAUUAUGGAAAAAUCAGAAGCUCCCAAUCACUCCACUGCCCUUCAUGAAGAGUUCUAAGACAGCCAUAAACCAGAAGCCAGCGCCUCUGACUCCUCCUGGGCCAACAGUGUCAGCAGCAUGUGGUGUUUCUGUGGAAGAAUGACUCUCUCUAAUGAGAAUUUUGUUUCUUCUGUAACAAAAUAAAAGAUUGAGUCCAGGUUCCCUUUGGUUCUAAUGUUUUACAUGUAGUAAAUGCACUUGAUUGAAGAGGAGUUCAGGUUAUGUUACUGCAUAUGAAAACUGGAUAUUUGUGGUAAAAAAAUUUAAAAAGCCGUACAACUGGUUCCCGCUUGGACGGCUCCAAGCUCCCUCUGACCUGGGCGGUCUGCGAGCCGUUCCAGCUGGGCACCCUGCCCUCAUUCACAGCUCCAUGCCAUUUCACACUGCCAAUGGCUACUCUCUAAGCCCAGCAGCAAUCUCCCUACCCAUCUAGUUCCUAGGGCAGGUUGUUAUCAGACCAGGCAUACACAUCCCAAUCCUGUGACAGCCGGGUGCGUCUUGCCACCAUACACUCUCUUGAACUCAAGUAGCCACACCACAAAAUAACCUCUGACCCAACUGGUAAGAUGUAAUUUUCCCAUCUAGACAGCACAAAAUCCUGAACACACCUAUCCCUUAAAAAUGGUCAUAGCCACCUGUAUCUAUGUGCAGAGAAGAAUCUUAACAUCUGUCGCCAU